UACGAAGGGGGCUAGCGUUGCUCGGAAUCACUGGGCGUAAAGCGCACGUAGGCGGACUCUUAAGUCGGUGGUGAAAUCCUGGAGCUCAACUCCAGAACUGCCUUCGAUACUGAGAGUCUCGAGUCCAGGAGAGGUGAGUGGAACUGCGAGUGUAGAGGUGAAAUUCGUAGAUAUUCGCAAGAACACCAGUGGCGAAGGCGGCUCACUGGCCCGAUACUGACGCUGAGGCACGAAAGCGUGGGGAGCAAACAGG
rnacentral:rRNA from 1 species